GGGCGACUUCCGGGCUCCUCACUGUGCACCCUACCUGCAACCCUCACCUUCCUUUGCUUCCUCCAUACUCGGGCUCUGCAAUGAGAAGGAGCAGGGCAGCAGACAGCAAGUUUCACAGAGGGAAGAGACGAAAAAGGUUUAACGUUAUACGAGCUUUGGGAGAACUUCCUUGGGAUAGUACGACCAGAAUGGCUGCUCUUGUCCCAAGUCCUGGCUAUAGCUAAGAAGAGAAUCACACACAAAGCCUUAACCACUCUGCUCGGAGGAGACUGGAGCCUUCCAAAUAUUUUGGAUGGCCGUUGCCCAGGUGGCCCUGAAUCAGGCUGUCUGCUGAGAAUCUUUGACUAAGAACUUGAAAAGACAGUCCCAAUCCUGGAUCACACAAACUCCUAAUUAUUUAGAACUUUGGAAGCAGUGGCUAUCACGUUUUUUCACUUCUGUUGACUAACUUCUGAGUUGGAAGACGAAGCAGAGGUCAUCUGAGUUGAGUCUCCUGCUGCCCCUUCCUGCUUUUGGCUUAAGGAUCCUGCUUCUCAGACUAAAAAGUACAGUUCUCUCCAGUCCAUGUGCUAAGCUUAUGUGAGUAAGGAUUAGCAAUGAGCCUGGCUCUGACAGCAACACAGAUAAAUCAACAUUUAAACCUUUGGAAAGCCAUUAAAUAUGUGAUGCUCCCUUGUUGAUUAAAAUGGUUCCUUCAUUCCAGGAUGGAUAAAA